UCCCCCAAAAUUCGUGAAAGAUAUGAAUCUACAAAUCUAAGAAGCUGUUCAAACUCAUUAGGAUGAAUUCAGAGAGACUCACAUCGAGACA